CUGUCCGCAGGAGAUGGCAUUCUCCUUUAACCGCUCAUUGUGAGCCGAUGAUGCCUACAACCCG
rnacentral:ncRNA from 1 species